GCUAGUAUAUUUCAGUCAGGUAGAAUGUCACAUUGCCAAUGUGAAGACGGGGGUUCAAAUCCCUCUACUAGCA
rnacentral:tRNA from 1 species